UCUCUCGGCAACGAAUCGAAAGUGGCUGAACUGGAGAUUACGUCUCGAAAGUGGUCUCGUGUUUGUAAUGAUCAUGCGUUUUCACUCGGCGAAUGUAUAUACGUAGAACGUUAUUUAAACUCACGUAACUCAAAGAUAUGCACGAGUGGAAAAAUAUCGAAUUAUAAAUCGCAAAACCGAUCACUUUUGCGUGACUUUAGAAAGUAUAGGAAAUUAGAUUCCAUUGAACGUAUUUCGAGAUAACUAUAAUAAUAAUUGGAAUUUCGUUUGUCUGGUAGUUAGACACGAAUUUCUUAUUUUAAUUUAAAUAAACACGAGAGAAUCGUUUGAUAAUUAAAUACAAUAGUAUGAAGAGAUAUUCUUUUCACAAAAGGAACGAAAGAUCGCAUGAACGCAUUCCUUGGAAAGAGCACAACGGAAAUGGAGACAGAGUACACCGGCUCACCCUGGUCGAUACAUCGACUUACUCUCGAGCUUGUCACAGUUGGUGACUUUGCCCUUCCAGUCGCAGGUCUGUUUGUCCAAGUCAAAGGCCAACCCGCUGGGGCACGUGAUUUGCUUCAGGCCGGAUUUCGUGCACCUGUGCGUGUCGGACAGAAAACAAAGGGGACGCCGUUUAAUCGAAUAGGAAUCUGUAUGUAUCGCUUACUCUCGAGUUGGUCGCAAUUCUUCACGUUCGUCUUCCAGUCGCACGUUUGCCUCUCAAUGUCGAACGCCAGACCUGUCGGACAUCGGACUGUUGCCAACCUGGUCACGCCAAUCUCGCUUGCUUUGUCGCAUCUGUGAUUCAAUUAUAUAUAUAUAUAUACAUAUAUAUAUUUUUUUUAUAUAUUUGAUAUUUGCAAAUUAUUAUUCUUCUUCCAGAUUUUGGAUAGUUGAUAAUUUCUGCUCGCCAUCAUGACACGUCAUCUCAAGACACAUUCUAAUUAAAAGAGGAUGAGAAUCAUAAGUUACGUGAAAAUUAUUUUGAGAAAUUCACAUUUAAGGAAAGAAUAAAUUAAUAUUUAAGGAAAUAGAUUUCUUUAUAUAUUUUUAUGAUUUCAAUAUUAGUUUAAUUUGCAAUUCUAAGAUUCUUAAUCUUUUAAAUUUAAAACAAUUUCAUACAUGUUAUACAUUAUUAUUUUAAUUGCAGGUAUUAUUCAAUAAAAUUGUCAAAUCAAA